CCUACGGGGGGCAGCAGUGGGGAAUAUUGGGCAAUGGGCGCAAGCCUGACCCAGCAAAGCCGCGUGAAGGAAGAAUGCUUUCGGGUUGUAAACUUCUUUUUUCAGAGACGAAGCAAGUGACGGUACCUGACGAAUAAGCCACGGCUAACUACGUGCCAGCAGCCGCGGUAAUACGGAGGUGGCAAGCGUUAUCCGGAUUUACUGGGUUUAAGGGGCGUGUAGGCGGGGAAGUAAGUCAGAUGUGAAAACCACGGGCUCAACCUUUAGCCUGCAUUUGAAACUGUUUUUCUUGAGUGCUGGAGAGGCAAUCGGAAUUCCGGGUGUAGCGGUGAAAUGCGUAGAUAUACGGAGGAACACCAGUGGCGAAGGCGGAUUGCUGGACAGUAACUGACGCUGAGGCGCGAAAGCGUGGGGAGCAAACAGGAUUAGAUACCCCAGUAGUC
rnacentral:rRNA from 1 species